UACAGGGGGUGCAAACGUUGCUCGGAAUCAUUGGGCGUAAAGCGCACGUAGGCGGUCUGUUAUGUCGGAUGUGAAAGCCCUUGGCUCAACUGAGGAAGUGCAUCCGAACUGGCAGGCUAGAGUACUAAAGAGGAUCGCGGAAUUCCCGGUGUAGAGGUGAAAUUCGUAGAUAUCUGGAGGAACACCGGUGGCGAAGGCGGCAUCCUGGACCGGCAUUGACGCUGAGGCG
rnacentral:rRNA from 1 species